rnacentral:other from 1 species
CACAACCUGCUUUGCGCGUGAUGGCGCAUCAAUUUUGAACCACAGCAAUUAUAAGGGAUGGCGGGUUCGGGUCUUCAAUGUCAGGCCGCAUCUUUUUAUCAGCGGAAGACAGCGAAACUCGACAGCCAGUAACCCACCGUAAACAUACGGGUUUAUAAAAAAUUGCGUCACACGGCACGGCGGGGUUUUA